UAGUCUACGCCGUAAACGAUGGAUACUAGUUGUUUGGCUUUCGGGCUGAGUGACUAAGCGAAAGUGAUAAGUAUCCCACCUGGGGAGUACGUUCGCAAGAAUGAAACUCAAAGGAAUUGACGGGGGCCCGCACAAGCGGUGGAGCAUGUGGUUUAAUUCGAUGAUACGCGAGGAACCUUACCAGGGCUUAAAUGUAGUCUGACAGCUUUAGAGAUAGAGUUUUCUUCGGACAGAUUACAAGGUGCUGCAUGGUUGUCGUCAGCUCGUGCCGUGAGGUGUCAGGUUAAGUCCUAUAACGAGCGCAACCCCUGUUGUUAGUUGCCAACGAGUAAUGUCGGGAACUCUAGCAAGACUGCCGGUGCAAACCGCGAGGAAGGUGGGGAUGACGUCAAAUCAUCACGGCCCUUACGUCCUGGGCCACACACGUGCUACAAUGGUAGGUACAGAGGGUUGCCAAGCCGCGAGGUGGAGCUAAUCUCACAAAACCGAUCGUAGUCCGGAUUGGAGUCUGCAACUCG
rnacentral:rRNA from 1 species